AGCGCGUGCGGCAAUCUUCUAUCUAUAUAAAUACCAAACACAAAUAGUUCAUAAUUGAACAAUAUGGAGAGAAAGCUUUAAGCACUAAAAUUUUAACAAGUAACAGCAGAAAUAGUUGAGGAAAAAGACAGGAGAUAAAAGACUCCACAACAGAAUAAUAAAGGUUUAAGAACUUAACAAACACAUCAUAGUAUUGAAAAAACAAAUAUGAAGUGAAAGCUCUAGACUUCAGAACCUGUUAACACAAAUGUACUCGCAAGUUGCAAAAAAGAAAAAGCACCACAAAAUACAAGGACUGUUUUUGUUUGUUCAUACAGAACAAAACAAUGGUUAAAAAAUUUAC
rnacentral:misc_RNA from 1 species